GCUUCCACACCUGACAUAACAAUUAGCAGUUAGGAUCAAAGACUUACUACUACAAGAAAAGCUAUACCUUGUAGCCUUAUAGGGAAGGUGCAACUUUUCCCUAGCUAGCAAUACUGUCAAAGUGGGCCAAAGCUCGCGGGCCGGCCCGUGGGGCCUCCAACCCGCGUGGGGCGGGAUAGGGUUGCAUGAACCCUAGCCUGCGGCCCGGCCCGCAAAAGCUCUCCAGAAAUAUGGCCAGCGGUGGGACGGACCAACCCGCUUUGACAGUACCCUAGCUACAUGAUGUUGGACUUGACCUUUCACGGGCCUCCGCCCACCCAGCACCUGCCAAUUUUAGCUGCACACUUUUUACUCUUUGUGGGGACUCAAAUUCAUGGCAUGACUUUAAUACCACUUGUUAAGAUCAAGCGCUUACCAUUACAGCAAAGAUGCAACUUUAUUUUCUUAUACUACCACAUUUUCGAGAGACAUGGUGCUGGACUUAACUCUUCACUGGCUCUCGUCCAAUGAUCCUCUAGUCACUAAUUGUUGGACUUGGCCCUUCAAGUCUCCGCCCAACCCAAGUGAUAAAAAAAACACAAAUUUUCAUUAAAAACCAGCUGAAUGUUGUAGGAGGCUUGGAGCCUCCCCCUAUGAACUUACUGUUUGCAGUAGAGAGCCAGUGUCCUCUACAAAGGCAUUGUUUUUCCUACCAGAUACAAUCUCAAGAACAAGAACACCAAAACUAUACACAUCUGCCUUCUCUGUGAGCUGUCCUUUGACAAGGUUGGAGCUUACAAUGUCCCAGCAAUCCCAGUACUGAGAUGAGUUUUAUCAGCUGCAAAAUCCCUAGCAAGCCCAAAAUCAGCAAUUUUCGGGGCAAAAUUUCCAUCCAGAAGAACAUUACUGCUCUUGAUAUCCCUGUGAAUUAUCCUAGACGAACAGCCUUCGUGGAGAAACGCUAUCCCUUCCGCUAUCCCAACCACGAUAUCAAACCGCUCCUUCCAAGUCAGGAUCUUGAUCUUGUUCUCCUCUGCAAAACACACUGUCAAACUUCAGAUUCUCAGUGUGCAAUUUCAUCUGUAAAACGAAAAAAACGGAUAUUAUAUUAUUACCAAAGAGGUAGUGUUCGAGGCUCUUGUUGGGUACAAAUUCAUAUACCAGCAGGCUUUCGGGGCCUUCAAUGCUGCAACCCAACAGCUUCACAAGGUUUUUGUGCUCAAUUCCACUUAUGAGGUUCACCUCAUUGAAGAACUCAUCCACCCACUGCCUUGUAUUGAAAAAUAAUCUCUUCACUGCAACAACUUUCCCACGUUGCAGAGUGGCUUUGAACACAGAACCAGCCCCUCCUUGCCCAAGUUUCAUGGAAGGGUCGAAAUACUUGGUUGCUUUCUCAAGAGUUUCAUACUUGAAAUUCAGAUUAGACUUGUUGUAACUACUCAAUAUUGGACCAAGAUUUUUCCCUUCUGCAUCAUCAUGAAUUCCAUCAAUUUCCAGGAAUAAUGCACAUAGAAUUUACUCAA